GCCCCCGUAGCCCAAUGGCAGAGGCAGGCGACUUAAAAUCGCCCAAGUGCGGGUUCGAGUCCCGCCGGGGGCA
rnacentral:tRNA from 1 species